UUUUCAUUUCAGUUGGUAUGCCAGAAGCCUACUUGGCUUUUCACCAUGCUUAUAAUAAGCAGCCCGAGAUAGAAUCAAGAGCUGUUCUGAAUCAGAUGAUGUUAGGAGAUCAAGUUCAGUCUGUAAUCCUGUCGUUGCUUCAAUAAAGCCUGUGAUGGAUUAACGGCAUGUCAAUAUUCUGAAUUUUUGUUGAAAUUUCAAAUAUCUUAGCUUAGUGAUUUUUAUUAAGGUUAGCUGAAAAUAAAUUAUCUGGCCACAAAGAUAGGCUUUCAUUGUUUACCAUAAUAAUCAGAAAGAGACUGUGUCGCUCUAAUUAAACGUAAGAAUGUCGGGUUCUGGGGGUCUUGGUCCUUCUUUCCUUUUUGUUUUUCUUUUCCCCUCUUCCUGGUGUGAGUCUGUAGCAUCACUGUGGCCCACUAGAUGGAGCCAGAGGCUGUCUACCUGGGAGGCGCGCCCAUGGGUUUUACGCACCUGGCGGUCAUCAUCUCAUCAUCCUCUGGAGGUUAAAGAAGCUGACUGCCAGCACUUCGACGCCAGAGUGUUUUACCUGCUUGGAAUUGUUUACUCCUCGAGACGAUUUGGAUUCUCCAGAGUGCCUUCCAUCCUGGCUUUUUGAUCUCAAGAUUCUCAGUUGUCAUCGGCUGGCAGUCGGACCUCACCUCCACCUCCGUCAAGUCAUCACUUACCUGCCCGCCCUCCACCGCAGCCUCCUUGCCUAGGAUCCCGCUCGUCUAUGGAAGCUGGAUCCGUUGACUUCAGCCUGGAACCCACAGACUACCUCCCUGAUUGUGAUCAUUCUUUCCCAAACUCCACCCCAGGAUCCCCACCAUAUCACAUUACUUU